AGUAGGCCUCAAGUGAUGUGUGACUACCCCCUAAA
rnacentral:rRNA from 1 species